rnacentral:rRNA from 1 species
GACGAACGCUGGCGGCGUGCCUAACACAUGCAAGUCGAACGGAGAUAUUAAUGAAGCUUGCGAUUUAAUAUCUUAGUGGCGGACGGGUGAGUAACGCGUGGGUAAUCUACCUAUCAGUGGGGAAUAACAGUUGGAAACGACUGCUAAUACCGCAUAACCUGCCUUGGCAGUAAAGAUGGCCUCUGAAUAUGCUGUCGCUGAUAGAUGAGCCCGCGUCUGAUUAGCUAGUUGGGGGGGUAAAGGCCUACCAAGGCGACGAUCAGUAGCCGGCCUGGGAGGGUGAACGGCACACUGGGACUGAGACACGGCCCAGAAUCCUAAGGGAGGCAGCAGUGGGGAAUAUUGCGCAAGGGGGGAAACCCUGACGCAGCGACGCCGCGUGAGCGAUGAAGGCCUUAGGGUUGUAAAGCUCUGUUUUAAGGGACGAAUGUCUAUAUCAGUAAUAUGGGUAUAGAAUGACGGUACCUUAAGAGGAAGCCCCGGCUAACUACGUGCCAGCCGCCGCAGUAAAAC